rnacentral:rRNA from 1 species
GAUGAACGCUGGCGGCGUGCCUAACACAUGCAAGUCGAGCGAUUUACUUCGGUAAAGAGCGGCGGACGGGUGAGUAACGCGUGGGUAACCUGCCCUGUACACACGGAUAACAUACCGAAGGGUAUGCUAAUACGGGAUAAUAUGCUUUUAUCGCAUGGUAGAAGUAUCAAAGCUCCGGCGGUACAGGAUGGACCCGAGUCUGAUUAGCUAGUUGGUAAGGUAACGGCUUACCAAGGCGACGAUCAGUAGCCGACCUGAGAGGGUGAUCGGCCACAUUGGAACUGAGACACGGUCCAAACUCCUACGGGAGGCAGCAGUGGGGAAUAUUGCACAAUGGGCGAAAGCCUGAUGCAGCAACGCCGCGUGAGCGAUGAAGGCCUUCGGGUCGUAAAGCUCUGUCCUCAAGGAAGAUAUUGACGGUACUUGAGGAGGAAGCCCCGGCUAACUACGUGCCAGCAGCCGCCGUAA